UCCCUGGUGGCUCAAAUGGUAAAGAAUUUGCCUGCAAUGCAGGAAACCCAGGUUCGAUCCCUGGGUUGGGAA
rnacentral:tRNA from 1 species